rnacentral:rRNA from 1 species
AAGCCCGCUCGCCGGAAGACCAAGGGUUCCUGUCCAACGUUAAUCGGGGCAGGGUGAGUCGACCCCUAAGGCGAGGCCGAAAGGCGUAGUCGAUGGGAAACAGGUUAAUAUUCCUGUACUUGGUGUUACUGCGAAGGGGGGACGGAGAAGGCUAUGUUGGCCGGGCGACGGUUGUCCCGGUUUAAGCGUGUAGGCUGGUUUUCCAGGCAAAUCCGGAAAAUCAAGGCUGAGGCGUGAUGACGAGGCACUACGGUGCUGAAGCAACAAAUGCCCUGCUUCCAGGAAAAGCCUCUAAGCAUCAGGUAACAUCAAAUCGUACCCCAAACCGACACAGGUGGUCAGGUAGAGAAUACCAAGGCGCUUGAGAGAACUCGGGUGAAGGAACUAGGCAAAAUGGUGCCGUAACUUCGGGAGAAGGCACGCUGAUAUGUAGGUGAAGCGACUUGCUCGUGGAGCUGAAAUCAGUCGAAGAUACCAGCUGGCUGCAACUGUUUAUUAAAAACACAGCACUGUGCAAACACGAAAGUGGACGUAUACGGUGUGACGCCUGCCCGGUGCCGGAAGGUUAAUUGAUGGGGUUAGCGCAAGCGAAGCUCUUGAUCGAAGCCCCGGUAAACGGCGGCCGUAACUAUAACGGUCCUAAGGUAGCGAAAUUCCUUGUCGGGUAAGUUCCGACCUGCACGAAUGGCGUAAUGAUGGCCAGGCUGUCUCCACCCGAGACUCAGUGAAAUUGAACUCGCUGUGAAGAUGCAGUGUACCCGCGGCAAGACGGAAAGACCCCGUGAACCUUUACUAUAGCUUGACACUGAACAUUGAGCCUUGAUGUGUAGGAUAGGUGGGAGGCUUUGAAGUGUGGACGCCAGUCUGCAUGGAGCCGACCUUGAAAUACCACCCUUUAAUGUUUGAUGUUCUAACGUUGACCCGUAAUCCGGGUUGCGGACAGUGUCUGGUGGGUAGUUUGACUGGGGCGGUCUCCUCCUAAAGAGUAACGGAGGAGCACGAAGGUUGGCUAAUCCUGGUCGGACAUCAGGAGGUUAGUGCAAUGGCAUAAGCCAGCUUGACUGCGAGCGUGACGGCGCGAGCAGGUGCGAAAGCAGGUCAUAGUGAUCCGGUGGUUCUGAAUGGAAGGGCCAUCGCUCAACGGAUAAAAGGUACUCCGGGGAUAACAGGCUGAUACCGCCCAAGAGUUCAUAUCGACGGCGGUGUUUGGCACCUCGAUGUCGGCUCAUCACAUCCUGGGGCUGAAGUAGGUCCCAAGGGUAUGGCUGUUCGCCAUUUAAAGUGGUACGCGAGCUGGGUUUAGAACGUCGUGAGACAGUUCGGUCCCUAUCUGCCGUGGGCGCUGGAGAACUGAGGGGGGCUGCUCCUAGUACGAGAGGACCGGAGUGGACGCAUCACUGGUGUUCGGGUUGUCAUGCCAAUGGCACUGCCCGGUAGCUAAAUGCGGAAGAGAUAAGUGCUGAAAGCAUCUAAGCACGAAACUUGCCCCGAGAUGAGUUCUCCCUGACUCCUUGAGAGUCCUGAAGGAACGUUGAAGACGACGACGUUGAUAGGCCGGGUGUGUAAGCGCAGCGAUGCGUUGAGCUAACCGGUACUAAUGAACCGUGAGGCUUAACCUU